rnacentral:tRNA from 1 species
GGCUUUAUAGUUUAAUUUUAAAAUGUCAAGUUGCAAGCUUGAAGUUAUAGUUUAUAUUAAAGUUU